UCCGGGUUCAACUCCAAGCACCCUUAUGGCGU
rnacentral:piRNA from 1 species